rnacentral:rRNA from 1 species
AGAGUUUGAUCAUGGCUCAGAUUGAACGCUGGCGGAAUGCUUUACACAUGCAAGUCGAGCGGCAGCACGGACUUCGGUCUGGUGGCGAGCGGCGAACGGGUGAGUAAUGCAUCGGAACGUACCCAGUCGUGGGGGAUAGCCCGGCGAAAGCCGGAUUAAUACCGCAUACGUCCUGAGGGAGAAAGCGGGGGACCGAAAGGCCUCGCGCGAUUGGAGCGGCCGAUGUCUGAUUAGCUAGUUGGUAGGGUAAAGGCCUACCAAGGCGUCGAUCAGUAGCGGGUCUGAGAGGAUGAUCCGCCACACUGGAACUGAGACACGGUCCAGACUCCUACGGGAGGCAGCAGUGGGGAAUUUUGGACAAUGGGGGCAACCCUGAUCCAGCCAUUCCGCGUGAGUGAAGAAGGCCUUCGGGUUGUAAAGCUCUUUCGGCAGGAACGAAACGGUUACGGUUAAUAUCCGUGACUACUGACGGUACCUGAAGAAGAAGCACCGGCUAACUACGUGCCAGCAGCCGCGGUAAUACGUAGGGUGCGAGCGUUAAUCGGAAUUACUGGGCGUAAAGCGUGCGCAGGCGGCUUUUUAAGCCAGAUGUGAAAUCCCCGGGCUUAACCUGGGAACUGCAUUUGGAACUGGAAGGCUAGAGUGCGGCAGAGGGGGGUAGAAUUCCACGUAGCAGUGAAAUGCGUAGAGAUGUGGAGGAAUACCGAUGGCGAAGGCAGCCCCCUGGGUCGACACUGACGCUCAUGCACGAAAGCGUGGGGAGCAAACAGGAUUAGAUACCCUAGUAGUCC